rnacentral:rRNA from 1 species
UAAGGAACUCGGCAAAAUGACCCCGUAACUUAGGGAUAAGGGGUGCCACCAUCAGGUGGCCGCAGAGAAUAGGCCCAAGCGACUGUUUACCAAAAACAUAGGUUUCUGCUAAGUCGCAAGACGAUGUAUAGGAGCUGACGCCUGCCCGGGGCUGGAAGGUUAAGGGGAUCUGUUAGAGCAAUCGAAGCAGUGAACUUAAGCCCCAGUAAACGGCGGCCGUAACUAUAACGGUCCUAAGGUAGCGAAAUUCCUUGUCGGGUAAGUUCCGACCCGCACGAA